AUUCAGGCCGUCGCUGUCACAGGUGGCUCCGUUCAGACAGCUGACGUUAGCGCAGGGAUCCUUGUACAAUUCACAGUGUGUUCCUGCAGAGAAACAAGCAAAACAGGAUGACUCAUCCAGGACUCUCUGGCUCCCAUGGCCUCUGAAAGCAAAGUCGGAACUCUCUGGAACAAUGCGAGGGAGAUUCCCAGCGUGGGUGUGUGUGGGUGAGUGUAUACACACGUGCCCACUCAUGAUUUUAGAUUGUUGUAAAAACUUGCCUUAUGAGAAAGUAACACAUUCGAUCACUGUCCAUAGGUCCCACCAUAGUCUUUUAUCUGUACUUUCUCUGCCUACGUGUCCCAAAGCCUGGGGAACAGAAAGUUAAAAGCCUGAAAGAUAAAUUAAUCAAUAGCAAAUGCUUUAUAAGUCUCCAAAAGAAACAGAAAAUAUCUAGAUGGCCUUGAGAAAAUAUAAUAUUAGCAACCUGAAAGUGAAGAUUUGGAAUCAGAUAUUUAAGUGAGUCCCAGUUCUACUUUGAAGAACUGCAGGGGAGAGGGGAAGCCGUGUGAUACUUAGACUUCAUUCUCAAAGACAUCACUGCAUGCUUUAUGUCUAAUUUAUUCCUCACAACAACACUAUGAGACAAUUAUCCUUAUUCCUCCAUUUUACAGAUGAGGAAACUGAGGAAAGAGUCGAAGAUCACAAGCCUGGUAAGAAAGGAGCUGGGAUUUGAAGCUGCCCGUAAUCCCAUCCCAGAGUCUGUGUUUGCUAAGUAGGCUGUUGAGAGUGACCCUGAAUUGACUGUGGAAAUAUACAAAACUCUAUGGAGCUCAGCACUCGUUUAACAAAGAAGAGGCAUUUUUUAAAAAAUCUGUAAAGUAAAACAGACAGCUUCUCAUUUACUUUUUUUAAAAAAAAAAGACUGUGUGUGCAUGUAUGUACGCAAAUGCCUGAAGUGGGACUGGAUUACUUCCAGGAGACUUGAUUACUUUGAUUUUCACAUCUGUGUAUUUCUACAUUACUGGCACCUUUUUUACAAGUAUCUAUUUUUUUAUAAUUUUAUUAAAAACUUUAAAAAUCUAAUGCUAUUUGAAAGGUGGGAUAUCUGCUGAUGUUACAC
rnacentral:lncRNA from 10 species